GAAAUGCGAUAAGUAAUGUGAAUUGCAGAAUUCCGUGAAUCAUCGAAUCUUUGAACGCACAUUGCGCCCUCUGGUAUUCCGGGGGGCAUGCCUGUCCGAGCGUCAUUGCACACCCUCAAGCGCGGCUUGUGUGUUGGGCCCCCGCGUCCUUGCCAUUUAAAGGACGGGCCCGAAAGGCAGUGGCGGCGUCGCGGUUAUCCGAUCAGCCAGAGCGUAUGGGGACUCUGUUCACACGUUCGGGGCGCGGACCGUUCCGGGCCUCCCAGCGCAGUAGCAAUAGCCUCGCUGCGGAAGGAAGGGACGGCUUCUGGCCCCAUUCGUCGACAUUUUCGUCGUCGACUUUUCAAGAGCUUGACCUCGGAUCAGGUAGGACUACCCGCUGAACUUAAGC
rnacentral:misc_RNA from 1 species